UGGGUGAAGUUUGGUCUUUGU
rnacentral:piRNA from 1 species